UGGGGAAUAUUGCACAAUGGGCGCAAGCCUGAUGCAGCCAUGCCGCGUGUGUGAAGAAGGCCUUCGGGUUGUAAAGCACUUUCAGCGAGGAGGAAGGUGGUGAGCUUAAUACGUUCAUCAAUUGACGUUACUCGCAGAAGAAGCACCGGCUAACUCCGU
rnacentral:rRNA from 1 species